rnacentral:rRNA from 1 species
AAAAUUGCCCAAUCUCGACACGGGGAGGUAGUGACGAAAAAUAACAAUUCAAGACUCGAAACGAGGCCUUGAAGUUGGAAUGAGUACACUUUAAAACUUUUAACGAGUAUCUAUUGGAGGGCAAGUCUGGUGCCAGCAGCCGCGGUAAUUCCAGCUCCAAUAGCGUAUACUAAAGUUGUUGCGGUUAAAAAGCUCGUAGUUGGAUCUUGGAGUGUGAGUGAAUGGUCGAUCGAAAGAUUGUACUGUUCGGCACACUCUUCUCUUCGGUUGCGUGUGUAGUGCCCUUAACUGAGUGCUGCACUCGACCGGAAUUUUUACCUUGAAAAAAUUAGAGUGUUCAAAGCAGACCUGAUUAUGUCUGAAUAUUCGUGCAUGGAAUAAUAAAAUAAGAACUUGGUUCUAUUUUAUUGGCUUUCGGAACUCGAGUUAAUGAUUAAGAGGGACAGACGGGGGCAUCCGUACUCUGCCGUUAGAGGUGAAAUUCUUGGAUCGGCGGAAGACGCGCAACUGCGAAAGCAUUUGCCAAGAAUGUUUUCUUUAAUCAAGAACGAAAGUCGGAGGUUCGAAGACGAUCAGAUACCGUCCUAGUUUCGACUGUAAACUAUGCCAGCUAACGAUCAGACAGCGUUCUCUACGACUUGUCUGGCAGUUUCCGGGAAACCAAAGCUUUCGGGUUCCGGGGGAAGUAUGGUUGCAAAGCUGAAACUUAAAGGAAUUGACGGAAGGGCACCACCAGGAGUGGAGCCUG